UACGGAGGGCGCAAGCGUUGUUCGGAAUCACUGGGCGUAAAGCGCGUGUAGGCGGCCCGGCAAGUCGGAUGUGAAAUCCCGAGGCUCAACCUCGGAACUGCACUCGAAACUGCCUGGCUCGAGUCCCGGAGAGGGUGGCGGAAUUCCCGGUGUAGGGGUGAAAUCCGUAGAUAUCGGUAGGAACACCAGUGGCGAAGGCGGCCACCUGGACGGUGACUGACGCUGAGACGCGAAAGCAUUGGCAGCAAACAGU
rnacentral:rRNA from 1 species